AGAUGAUGUUGGACUUCAACUCCUAUCAUUCCCAACUUCAACUGGGCCUGUGAGGCAGAUUUAGUCUCUUCAGGAGAUCCUGAGAUGCUGCUGCUCCCUGAUUUUAGUUAUGAUGACUGUAUUGAACCAAAAAAGAGACACUGAAGAGCUCCAGAAACUGGGUGAAUGGGCGGUAAAAUGGCAAAUGAAAUUCAGUGAAAGUGAUGCAUGAAACCUUGGGCUCAUAGUAAGAUAGCUUGAUGAAGAUGUUGACCCAAUGUGCAGAAAAAGGCAAUUUCCACGCUAGGUUUCAGACGGUUUUUUGUUUUACAAUCAAGCAGUGUAUAAAUUUUAUGAAGUGAAAUGAAAUGAAAUAAAUAAAAUAAAAUAAACCCA